rnacentral:rRNA from 1 species
GGAUUACAGUAUGCAGCUAUGUGUCUCAUGAUUAAGCCAUGGGUUUUCCCAACAACGGAGUAAUAGAUCUUAAUUCCUACUUGAAAAAGUGUGGCAAUUCUCCACCUAAUACAUGCACGUAAGCUCGGACCUUAGGGAUUGAUCUCAUUUUUUAUACCAAAACCAAUCAAGCUUCGGCUUGUGUUUUGGUGACUCUGAAUAACUAAGUUGAUCACACAGACAAAAUACUGGCGACGUAUCUAUCAAAUGUCUGCCGUAGCAACUUUCGAUGGUAGGUUAUACGCCUACCAUGGUUAUAACGGGUAACGGAGAAUAAGGGUUUGACUCCGGAGAGGGAGCCUGAGAAAUGGCUACCACAUCCAAGGAAGGCAGCAGGCGCGCAAAUUACCCAAUCCCAGAACGGGGAGGUAGUGACGAAAAAUAACGAGACAGUCCACUAUGUGGCCUGUCAUCGGAAUGGGUACAAUUUAAAAACUUUAACGAGGAUCUAUUAGAGGGCAAGUCUGGUGCCAGCAGCCGCGGUAAUUCCAGCUCUAAUAGCGUAUAUUAAAGUUGUUGUGGUUAAAACGCCCGUAGUUGGAUCUUCGGUCUUGAAGCUCGGUAGCUCGUAAGGGUUUAACUGAGUCUUCUGGCCUAAAUUUUAGUAUUCUCCUGAUGCUCUUUAUUGAGUGUCUUGAGUUGCUAGAACGUUUACUUUGAAAAAAUUAUAGUGCUAAAAAGCAGGCUUUACGCUUGAAUAAAGUUGCAUGGAAAUAAU